GCCAGGCAUGGUGGCAUGCUCUGGUAGCCCCAGCUACUCAGGAGGCUGAAGCAGCAGGAUUGCUUGAGGCCAGGAGUUCUGGACUGUGGUGCGCUCUGCAUGUCCGCAUAAGUUCACAAUCAAUAUGGUAACCUCCUGGCAGUGGGCAUGAAGGAGAUCAAGUUGUCUAAGGAGGGGUGAACCCGCCCAGGUUGGAAAAGGAACAGAUCAGAGCUCCGGUGCUGUUCAGUAGUGGGAUGAGGCCUGUGAAUAGCCACUGCACUCAACCUGGGCAACAGAGAGACCCUUUCUCCU
ensembl:misc_RNA Metazoa_SRP Metazoan signal recognition particle RNA